rnacentral:rRNA from 1 species
CGUACACUCCUACGGGAGGCAGCAGUGGGGAAUAUUGGACAAUGGGCGCAAGCCUGAUCCAGCCAUGCCGCGUGAGUGAUGAAGGCCCUAGGGUUGUAAAGCUCUUUCACCGGUGAAGAUAAUGACGGUAACCGGAGAAGAAGCCCCGGCUAACUUCGUGCCAGCAGCCGCGGUAAUACGAAGGGGGCUAGCGUUGUUCGGAUUUACUGGGCGUAAAGCGCACGUAGGCGGACUAUUAAGUCAGGGGUGAAAUCCCGGGGCUCAACCCCGGAACUGCCUUUGAUACUGGUAGUCUUGAGUUCGAGAGAGGUGAGUGGAAUUCCGAGUGUAGAGGUGAAAUUCGUAGAUAUUCGGAGGAACACCAGUGGCGAAGGCGGCUCACUGGCUCGAUACUGACGCUGAGGUGCGAAAGCGUGGGGAGCAAACAGGAUUAGAUACCCCGGUAGUCCC